rnacentral:rRNA from 1 species
CCACGGGCGGCAGCAGUGGGGAAUAUUGGACAAUGGGGGGAACCCUGAUCCAGCCAUGCCGCGUGUGUGAAGAAGGCCCUCGGGUUGUAAAGCACUUUCAGUGAGGAAGAACGCCUGGUGGUUAAUACCCAUCAGGAAAGACAUCACUCACAGAAGAAGCACCGGCUAACUCCGUGCCAGCAGCCGCGGUAAUACGGAGGGUGCGAGCGUUAAUCGGAAUUACUGGGCGUAAAGCGCGCGUAGGUGGCUUGAUAAGCCGGUUGUGAAAGCCCCGGGCUCAACCUGGGAACGGCAUCCGGAACUGUCAAGCUAGAGUGCAGGAGAGGAAGGUAGAAUUCCCGGUGUAGCGGUGAAAUGCGUAGAGAUCGGGAGGAAUACCAGUGGCGAAGGCGGCCUUCUGGACUGACACUGACACUGAGGUGCGAAAGCGUGGGUAGCAAACAGGAUUAGAUACCCCGGUAGUC